rnacentral:rRNA from 1 species
UACGUAGGGCGCAAGCGUUGUCCGGAAUUAUUGGGCGUAAAGAGCUCGUAGGCGGUCUGUCACGUCUGCCGUGAAAACCCGAGGCUUAACCUCGUGGCUUGCGGUGGAUACGGGCAGACUAGAGGUAGGUAGGGGAGAACGGAAUUCCCGGUGUAGCGGUGAAAUGCGCAGAUAUCGGGAGGAACACCGGUGGCGAAGGCGGUUCUCUGGGCCGAUACUGACGCUGAGGAGCGAAAGCGUGGGGAGCGAACAGG